rnacentral:rRNA from 1 species
AGCAAACCCUAAAUCAAAAAUUGGGGAAUUUGGGAAUGGAUGAACGGUACCUCAAAUCAGGCCGAGCCGAGUGCCGUAGUGCGGACUCGGCGGAACCGCCGGCUUGCAAGGCGCUAGGCGGCCGGGACAGGGCAGGGUCGCGGCCGGGGGCGGUGGCAAGGCUGGCACCGAGCGCCGGGCAGGGCGAGGGCGCAAUGGGGAGGCAGGAGGCCAGGAGCAGAGGAGACUCCUGGGCGGCCGGCGACCGGCGUCCCGCGAGGCCGCGAGGCAGGCAGAGGCCGGGACGGGGGCGGCCGGCGGCUGGGUGUCGGGUAGAGGGCUAGCGCGCUGUGUGCCUGUAUGUGCUUGGUGCCUGGGGUUUGGCUGAGAGCGAGAGCGUUGGUUGUUUUGGAUCAAAG